GCCACCUUAGCUCAGCUGGUAGAGCAGCUCACUCGUAAUGAGCAGGUCGAGCGUUCGAGUCGCUUAGGUGGCUCAA
rnacentral:tRNA from 6 species